rnacentral:rRNA from 1 species
GGAUUAGAUACCCUGGUAGUCCACGCCCUAAACGAUGAGAACUAGAUGUUGGGCGCGUUAAGGCGCUUAGUAUCGAAGCUAACGCGUUAAGUUCUCCGCCUGGGGAGUACGGCCGCAAGGUUGAAACUCAAAGGAAUUGACGGGGGCCCGCACAAGCGGUGGAGCAUGUGGUUUAAUUCGAUGCAACGCGAAGAACCUUACCUGCCCUUGACAUCCUCAGAACUUGUUAGAGAUAACUUGGUGCCUUCGGGAACUGAGUGACAGGUGCUGCAUGGCUGUCGUCAGCUCGUGCCG